GGACAGUGGAGACCAUGGAAUGAUGGAGUCCCUGAAUGGUUGGGCUUGGAAGGGAGCCUGAAGAAACCUCUUGUUCCAAGCUGAGCAAUCUUCCUCCAGAGCAGGCUGCUCAGAGCCCUGUUCCCAAGGAUGGGGUUUUUCUGUUGGAAAGGAAGCUUGGCACAAUGUCCAUUGUCUUCUCCAUUUGUGAAACACCAAGCGGAGUCUGGGCAGGCUGAUGAUGCAGAGCAAAACCUGAAAAUAUACUAGUGAUCCUGAGCCUAGGGGAUGCAGCUAAACCCAGCCAAAAGGAAUUUCUGAAAAGCUGAUCCUGGUUUACAUUAUCUUGAGUUUGGCUUCGCCAACUUCACCAGUCAUUUAUGAAAAAGCAAACAAAAAACUCAAGCCAAAUCAGACAUAAACCCAAACAAACAAACAAACAAACAAACAAACCCAUGCAGCAAACCAAUCAAACAAACAGAUAUAAAAACCCCAAAUAAAACCAAAGGAAAUGAA